GAUGAACGCUAGCUACAGGCUUAACACAUGCAAGUCGAGGGGCAGCAUUUUAGUUUGCUUGCAAACUAAAGAUGGCGACCGGCGCACGGGUGAGUAACACGUAUCCAACCUGCCGAUAACUCGGGGAUAGCCUUUCGAAAGAAAGAUUAAUAUCCGAUGGUAUAUUAAAACCGCAUGGUUUUACUAUUAAAGAAUUUCGGUUAUCGAUGGGGAUGCGUUCCAUUAGUUUGUUGGCGGGGUAACGGCCCACCAAGACUACGAUGGAUAGGGGUUCUGAGAGGAAGGUCCCCCACAUUGGAACUGAGACACGGUCCAAACUCCUACGGGAGGCAGCAGUGAGGAAUAUUGGUCAAUGGGCGAGAGCCUGAACCAGCCAAGUAGCGUGAGGGAUGAAGGCUCUAUGGGUCGUAAACCUCUUUUAUAUGGGAAUAAAGUUUUCCACGUGUGGAAUUUUGUAUGUACCAUAUGAAUAAGGAUCGGCUAACUCCGUGCCAGCAGCCGCGGUAAUACGGAGGAUCCGAGCGUUAUCCGGAUUUAUUGGGUUUAAAGGGAGCGUAGGUGGAUUGUUAAGUCAGUUGUGAAAGUUUGCGGCUCAACCGUAAAAUUGCAGUUGAAACUGGCAGUCUUGAGUACAGUAGAGGUGGGCGGAAUUCGUGGUGUAGCGGUGAAAUGCUUAGAUAUCACGAAGAACUCCGAUUGCGAAGGCAGCUCACUAGACUGCAACUGACACUGAUGCUCGAAAGUGUGGGUAUCAAACAGGAUUAGAUACCCUGGUAGUCCACACAGUAAACG
rnacentral:rRNA from 1 species